rnacentral:rRNA from 1 species
UACGUAGGGGGCGAGCGUUGUCCGGAAUCAUUGGGCGUAAAGCGCGUGUAGGCGGCCGACCAAGUCCGGUGUGAAAGCUCAGGGCUCAACCCUGAGUCUGCACUGGAAACUGGCCGGCUUGAGUCCGGAAGAGGAGACUGGAAUUCCUGGUGUAGCGGUGAAAUGCGCAGAUAUCAGGAAGAACACCGGUGGCGAAGGCGGGUCUCUGGGACGGUACUGACGCUGAGACGCGAAAGCGUGGGGAGCAAACAGG